rnacentral:rRNA from 1 species
UACGUAGGGGGCUAGCGUUGUCCGGAAUCAUUGGGCGUAAAGAGCGCGUAGGCGGCCUGCUAAGUCGAACGUGAAAUCCCUGGGCUCAACCCAGGAACUGCGUCCGAUACUGGUUGGCUUGAAUCCGGGAGAGGGACGUGGAAUUCCAGGUGUAGCGGUGAAAUGCGUAGAUAUCUGGAGGAACACCGGUGGCGAAGGCGACGUCCUGGACCGGCACUGACGCUGAGGCGCGAAAGCCAGGGGAGCAAAGCGGG